CGCGAAACCUUUACACUGCACGCAAGUGCGAUAAGGGGACCCCGAGUGCGAGGGCAUACAGUCCUCGYUUUUCACUACCGUACGAUGGUAGUGGAAUAAGAGCUGGGCAAGACCGGUGCCAGCCGCCGCGGUAAUACCGGCAGCUCGAGUGAUGGCCGAUCUUAUUGGGCCUAAAGCGUUCGUAGCCGGCCACACAAGUCCACCGGGAAAUCCGCCAGCCCAACUGGCGGGCGUCCGGUGGAAACUGUGUGGCUAGGGACCGGAAGACCCGAAGGGUACSUCUUGGGUAGGAGUGAAAUCCWGUAAUCCUAGACGGACCGCCGAUAGCRAAAGCACUUCKGGAAGACGGAUCCGACGGUGAGGGACGAAAGCCAGGGUCUCGAACCGGAUUAGAUACCCGGGUAGUCCUGGCCGUAAACGAUGUCUGCUAGGUGUGGCUCCCACUACGGGUGGGUGCUGUGCCGUAGGGAAGCCGCUAAGCAGACCGCCUGGGAAGUACGUCCGCAAGGAUGAAACUUAAAGGAAUUGGCGGGGGAGCACUACAACCGGAGGAGCCUGCGGUUUAAUUGGAAUCA
rnacentral:rRNA from 1 species